GCGACUGAUCCGUAACUGGUCUGAGAGGAUGAUCAGUCACACUGGAACUGAGACACGGUCCAGACUCCUACGGGAGGCAGCAGUGGGGAAUAUUGGACAAUGGGCGAAAGCCUGAUCCAGCCAUGCCGCGUGUGUGAAGAAGGUCUUCGGAUUGUAAAGCACUUUAAGUUGGGAGGAAGGGCAGUAAAUUAAUACUUUGCUGUUUUGACGUUACCGACAGAAUAAGCACCGGCUAACUCUGUGCCAGCAGCCGCGGUAAUACAGAGGGUGCAAGCGUUAAUCGGAAUUCUUGGGCGUAAAGCGCGCGUAGGUGGUUUGUUAAGUUU
rnacentral:rRNA from 1 species